GUACAUUUUUGCAUUCAUAUAUCAUUCAUAACACAUCUAGUUAGGAGCAUUGGAUUCAUUUUGAUCAUAGCAUCCUAAUUAUUUUACAUAAUCAUCACAUCUAGUUAGGAGCAUUUGAUUCAUUUCGAUUAUAGUAUCCUAAAUAUUUGGCAUAAGCAUAGAUACAUGAAAUCGAUUCUACAAGUUAUGUCCCUAGAGGACAGUGUAGCAACAUCGGUGAAUUCACGAGCCUUAACCCCCUAAGCAGUAGGGUAAUAGGCUAAAAAUUACAGAUCUUAUCUCCAAGUAUCGGCUAUGGAGCAGAUUGGAAAUGGUGAGUCUUAUCUCCAUGUAUCGACUAUGGAGUAGAUUUUAGCCACCAGUCGUAUCUCUCUGAGGUAGCAAGAGAGUAGGUUGAAUAUACAAGUCUUAUAUUCCUGAGGUAACAAGGAAGCAGACUAAAAAUUACAGAUCUUAUCUCCAUGUAUCGGUUAUGGAGCAGAUCAAAAAUGGCAAGUCUUAUAUCCAUGUAUCUGCUAUGGAGCAGAUUUUAGCCACCAACCUUAUCUCUCUGAGGUAGCAAGAGAGCAGGUUGAAGAUACAAGUCUUAUCUUCCUGAAGUAGUAAGAGAGCAGGUCGAAGAUACAAGUCUUAUCUUCCUGAGGUAGCAAGGAAGCAGACUGAAAAUCACAAGUCUUAUUUCCCCUAAAGUUGCAAGAGAUGGGAAUAAGGCUACUUGAAGAAGAGUGGCCAAAAGAAGUUAAAACUCGACAGGUCCAGGCAAUUUUGACCAUUUUUGAAGUCUUUGCUCUGUUCUCGUUACACGACAACGAGCAAAGAGGGGCAGCUGUAAUGAGCCAAAAUUGCCCAGCCCAAGACCCACAAACAAUAAACAGAAAAAAAAGCCCAAAACUCAACAAUGGCCUAAAUCAGAAAAGAACCCUAGGUUACUCCUAGUCACCCACGCCGCAACCCCCACGUUCAGCACCACUCCACCACACAUGUCAGCACGCCCCCCAGCUUGUGCAUCCACGCCCCAUGAUCGUGCACUUUUCCUCUACAACUUCACAGCACCUGCGAUUUGAGCAAAGAAAUAGGCAGAAACUGCUUAUAUUUUGGCUAUAAAGCCUUCGAUUUUUUUUAUUGUAAAAGGGGAGGAUUUUUUUUUACCUUUUUUUUAGAGAAAUAGAAUACGGAUACAAUAGCAAAAUACAAAGAAAACGUUGAAAUACAGAGAAAUCAAAUCAAUUGAAAAAGGUUGCGGCUAUUUCUUUUCUAAUUUACCUUGUUUUUUCUCUUCUUUUUAAAGUAUGGUCUUACUUUGUGAUUGCAAAAAAAUAAAAGAAUAAGAAAGGAAGAAGACUUACCAGAACACGGCUUUGAAUCAAGGUUGAAAACCCAUUUUUUAAGUGCUGCUGGCCACCGAGUGGUGGUGUUUCGGUCUUGCGGUGGGGGAAAAAAACCAAUCAGUGCAUGGAGAUUGGAAUGUAGCCUGAGCAGAGGAAGAAUGGAAACCCUUUUUUUUUAAUUCGAUGCAAAUGGUUUUGGGCAAACAAAAU
rnacentral:lncRNA from 1 species